rnacentral:lncRNA from 1 species
UUACGGAUGGGAGGCUCCGGGCAAAACCUGGUCCGUGCCACACCUGCAGGCUUUAGGCAAGGAGUGGCUGCCGAUGGGAAGGAAGGUGAGUGCUCUUCGAGGUGUGGGGCCCGAUGAUUUCCCAGAUGGUCGGCAGAGUGAGAGGGACAUUCGGAUCGACGUCUGCUGAGCUGACCUUGCGGGUGAGCGUGGGCCUGGCUGUUUGUUUGGCAGGACCCGGUGAAUGCCUUGGCCAUGUUUUUACUCUGUUCAUUCAUUCUUUCACUCCAAAGACAAUCAAUGGAUGCUCACGCUGUGCCAAGAUGCGGAUCCACUCACUGAGAUUAGCAGUUCAGGAGGACAGUACGUUCGAGAGGACGACGGGCAUUCGGCUCUGAGCAUGUUGAGUCUGAGGCAUCCUCACUCUUCCCCAUUCCCACGGCCAGAUCAGUACAAAAUCCUGUCCCUUCUGCAUCCUGAGUGUGUUGUAAACCCAUCCACCUCUCUUCGCCCCCACUGCUAGUCAAAAGUUCAACCCAGCAGCAUCCUUUAUCUAUGAAUUGGAAAAAAUAGCGUGAAAGACCCAACUCCUCGUGUGAGCCUCAGCCCUCCUGGGAAGACCACCUCCCCUCCCGUGGGCACAGCAGCAGCGACAACAGCGCACGACAGCCCAGGGAGCUCUGUGCGGCCCCUGAUACAUUGUCAAAGACAUGGCCUUGUUUUUCCUCCCAUUCCCGAGGGGUUUUUAAAGGUUGUAUCGAGAUGCAGUUUACAUACCAGGAAACGGACUCGCUCAAGGAUUUUUGGGACGUUUACCGCGUGGUGCCGCCAUCGCCAUGAUCCAGUCUGAGAUCUUUCCAUCCCCCCAUCACAUCUCUCCCCUGCCCGUGGGUACCCAGUCCUCUUUACCACCCGAGCCCCUGGCGGCCAUGGGUGAGCUUCCUGUCUCUGUGGGUUUCCCUGCCAUGGACAGUUCCCGUCUCUGAUUCAUUUUGAGUAAAUCUUUGUGGAUGGUGUGAACUCAGGAUCUAAAUUCAUCUUCUUGUAUGUGGGCUCCAAUUGUCCUCGCACCAUUUGUUGAAAAGACCGUCCUUUCCCUAGUGAAUAUCCUUGACGUCUUUGUCAACAAUAAAUUGACCAGAAAUCUUGUUAAUGCUAGGAACUGGCUGUGCCCACCAGAGGGCCCAAGACCUGGCCCCUCCCACCAGUGAGCCAACGUUAACUCCAGGACCCCCUGCGCCCCAGCCUUGCCCCCCUGGACUGAAGGGUUGACACCAGCUCUGGGACACCUGGGCUCUUCAGCUAGAGACUUCAGGACAUAGCUCUGCCCACCAGUGGGUACAAAAUAGCUCCAGGUCUCCCCUGGGCCCCAGCCCCACCAACCAGCAGGAAGAUGCCAGCCCUGGAACCACCACAGCCCAAUAAUCAGCCAUGUCAGAACCCGACCCUUCCAUGAGCGGGAUGGCCCCAGCCCCAGGAAACCUAGAGCCUGACCUUUCCCACCAAUGAGCCAAAACCAGCACUGGGAUACCUGGGGCCUCUUAUUCAGCUGCCUCAGGAUAUAAGCUCACCCAGCGGCCGGCCAGCGGCAGCUCUAGGACAUCACAGACUCCAUAGCCAGCAAUGUAAGAAACUGGGUUCACCCACCAGCAGGCUGACACCAGCUCCAGGACCCUCACCCCCACAGCCAGGCACCCCAUGACUUGGAUCCACCCUCCAGUGGGAAACACGAGCCCUGGGACACGUGGGGAGCUGACUCAUGACACAGCUCCACCACUAGCAGGCUGGUACCAGGACCAAGACAACACAGGCCCUGCAGCCAGUUGUGCUAGGACCCAGGCCCACUCACCAGCAGCCAUCAGCCUCUGAACCAUGCAGGAACAAGAGAAGAAGGCUUGCUUUCGGUGCCUCUACUCCAGACUGUAGUGGAAGUCCUAGCCAGAGCAAUGAGGCAAAAAAAGAAAUGAAAGACAUUCUUAUUGGAAAGGAAGAAGUAAAACUAUCUCUAUUCUCAGACGACAGGAUCUUCUGUAUAGAACACCCUGAAGAAUCCACAAAACACCCUUAGCCUUGAUGAACAAAUUCAAUCGAGGCGCAGCCUACACGAUCGACACACAAAAAUCAGUUGAAUUUCCAUGGACCAGCGGGGAAGAAAAAUCCAUAAUGACAGUGACGACAGUUCCAUUUCAGAUAGGAUCAAAAGGAAGAAAAUACACAGGAAUACGUUUCGCCAAGGAGGGGAAGAAUUUUGCACUGAAAACGACGAAUCAUUGUGGAAAGAAAUGAAAGAUGACCUAAAAAAGCUGGACGGUGGGAAGACAGCAGGAGUCAUGGACUGGA